rnacentral:lncRNA from 1 species
UUAAGAUGGAGUCUCGCUCUGUUGCCCAGGCUAGAAUGCAGUGGCGUGAUCUCGGCUCACUGCAAGCUCCGCCUCCUGGGUUCACGCCAUUCUCCUGCCUCAGCCUCCUGAGUAGCUGGGACUAUAGGCGCCUGCCACCACGCCCGGCUAAUUUUUUUUUGUAUUUUUUUUAGUAGAGACGGAGUUUCACCGUGUUAGCCAGGAU